rnacentral:rRNA from 1 species
UUAAGCGACUAAGCGUACACGGUGGAUGCCCUGGCAGUCAGAGGCGAUGAAGGACGUGCUAAUCUGCGAUAAGCGUCGGUAAGGUGAUAUGAACCGUUAUAACCGGCGAUUUCCGAAUGGGGAAACCCAGUGUGAUUCGUCACACUAUCAUUAACUGAAUCCAUAGGUUAAUGAGGCGAACCGGGGGAACUGAAACAUCUAAGUACCCCGAGGAAAAGAAAUCAACCGAGAUUCCCCCAGUAGCGGCGAGCGAACGGGGAGCAGCCCAGAGCCUGAAUCAGUAUGUGUGUUAGUGGAAGCGUCUGGAAAGGCGCGCGAUACAGGGUGACAGCCCCGUACACAAAAAUGCACAUGCUGUGAGCUCGAUGAGUAGGGCGGGACACGUGGUAUCCUGUCUGAAUAUGGGGGGACCAUCCUCCAAGGCUAAAUACUCCUGACUGACCGAUAGUGAACCAGUACCGUGAGGGAAAGGCGAAAAGAACCCCGGCGAGGGGAGUGAAAAAGAACCUGAAACCGUGUACGUACAAGCAGUGGGAGCACGCUUAGGCGUGUGACUGCGUACCUUUUGUAUAAUGGGUCAGCGACUUAUAUUCUGUAGCAAGGUUAACCGAAUAGGGGAGCCGAAGGGAAACCGAGUCUUAACUGGGCGUUAAGUUGCAGGGUAUAGACCCGAAACCCGGUGAUCUAGCCAUGGGCAGGUUGAAGGUUGGGUAACACUAACUGGAGGACCGAACCGACUAAUGUUGAAAAAUUAGCGGAUGACUUGUGGCUGGGGGUGAAAGGCCAAUCAAACCGGGAGAUAGCUGGUUCUCCCCGAAAGCUAUUUAGGUAGCGCCUCGUGAAUUCAUCUCCGGGGGUAGAGCACUGUUUCGGCAAGGGGGUCAUCCCGACUUACCAACCCGAUGCAAACUGCGAAUACCGGAGAAUGUUAUCACGGGAGACACACGGCGGGUGCUAACGUCCGUCGUGAAGAGGGAAACAACCCAGACCGCCAGCUAAGGUCCCAAAGUCAUGGUUAAGUGGGAAACGAUGUGGGAAGGCCCAGACAGCCAGGAUGUUGGCUUAGAAGCAGCCAUCAUUUAAAGAAAGCGUAAUAGCUCACUGGUCGAGUCGGCCUGCGCGGAAGAUGUAACGGGGCUAAACCAUGCACCGAAGCUGCGGCAGCGACGCUGAUGCGUUGUUGGGUAGGGGAGCGUUCUGUAAGCCUGUGAAGGUGUGCUGUGAGGCAUGCUGGAGGUAUCAGAAGUGCGAAUGCUGACAUAAGUAACGAUAAAGCGGGUGAAAAGCCCGCUCGCCGGAAGACCAAGGGUUCCUGUCCAACGUUAAUCGGGGCAGGGUGAGUCGACCCCUAAGGCGAGGCCGAAAGGCGUAGUCGAUGGGAAACAGGUUAAUAUUCCUGUACUUGGUGUUACUGCGAAGGGGGGACGGAGAAGGCUAUGUUGGCCGGGCGACGGUUGUCCCGGUUUAAGCGUGUAGGCUGGUUUUCCAGGCAAAUCCGGAAAAUCAAGGCUGAGGCGUGAUGACGAGGCACUACGGUGCUGAAGCAACAAAUGCCCUGCUUCCAGGAAAAGCCUCUAAGCAUCAGGUAACAUCAAAUCGUACCCCAAACCGACACAGGUGGUCAGGUAGAGAAUACCAAGGCGCUUGAGAGAACUCGGGUGAAGGAACUAGGCAAAAUGGUGCCGUAACUUCGGGAGAAGGCACGCUGAUAUGUAGGUGAAGUCCCUCGCGGAUGGAGCUGAAAUCAGUCGAAGAUACCAGCUGGCUGCAACUGUUUAUUAAAAACACAGCACUGUGCAAACACGAAAGUGGACGUAUACGGUGUGACGCCUGCCCGGUGCCGGAAGGUUAAUUGAUGGGGUUAGCGCAAGCGAAGCUCUUGAUCGAAGCCCCGGUAAACGGCGGCCGUAACUAUAACGGUCCUAAGGUAGCGAAAUUCCUUGUCGGGUAAGUUCCGACCUGCACGAAUGGCGUAAUGAUGGCCAGGCUGUCUCCACCCGAGACUCAGUGAAAUUGAACUCGCUGUGAAGAUGCAGUGUACCCGCGGCAAGACGGAAAGACCCCGUGAACCUUUACUAUAGCUUGACACUGAACAUUGAGCCUUGAUGUGUAGGAUAGGUGGGAGGCUUUGAAGUGUGGACGCCAGUCUGCAUGGAGCCGACCUUGAAAUACCACCCUUUAAUGUUUGAUGUUCUAACGUUGACCCGUAAUCCGGGUUGCGGACAGUGUCUGGUGGGUAGUUUGACUGGGGCGGUCUCCUCCUAAAGAGUAACGGAGGAGCACGAAGGUUGGCUAAUCCUGGUCGGACAUCAGGAGGUUAGUGCAAUGGCAUAAGCCAGCUUGACUGCGAGCGUGACGGCGCGAGCAGGUGCGAAAGCAGGUCAUAGUGAUCCGGUGGUUCUGAAUGGAAGGGCCAUCGCUCAACGGAUAAAAGGUACUCCGGGGAUAACAGGCUGAUACCGCCCAAGAGUUCAUAUCGACGGCGGUGUUUGGCACCUCGAUGUCGGCUCAUCACAUCCUGGGGCUGAAGUAGGUCCCAAGGGUAUGGCUGUUCGCCAUUUAAAGUGGUACGCGAGCUGGGUUUAGAACGUCGUGAGACAGUUCGGUCCCUAUCUGCCGUGGGCGCUGGAGAACUGAGGGGGGCUGCUCCUAGUACGAGAGGACCGGAGUGGACGCAUCACUGGUGUUCGGGUUGUCAUGCCAAUGGCACUGCCCGGUAGCUAAAUGCGGAAGAGAUAAGUGCUGAAAGCAUCUAAGCACGAAACUUGCCCCGAGAUGAGUUCUCCCUGACCCUUUAAGGGUCCUGAAGGAACGUUGAAGACGACGACGUUGAUAGGCCGGGUGUGUAAGCGCAGCGAUGCGUUGAGCUAACCGGUACUAAUGAACCGUGAGGCUUAACCUU